rnacentral:rRNA from 1 species
UACGAAGGGUGCAAGCGUUACUCGGAAUUACUGGGCGUAAGCGUGCGUAGGCGGUUUGUUAAGUCCGUUGUGAAAGCCCUGGGCUCAACCUGGGAAUUGCAGUGGAUACUGGCGAGCUAGAGUGCGGUAGAGGAUGGUGGAAUUCCCGGUGUAGCGGUGAAAUGCGUAGAGAUCGGGAGGAACACCCGUGGCGAAGGCGGCCAUCUGGACCAGCACUGACGCUGAGGCACGAAAGCGUGGGGAGCAAACAGGG